rnacentral:lncRNA from 1 species
CACUUCAGGUCACCAUGCUGACCCUUUUAAACACUAAAAUUUUAAGUUUUAUUAAAAGCUAGUUCUAUUAUUUAUAUAAAUCCAAGAUAUAAGGGCAAUUUUAAAUAUCAAAACAAGAGCCAGCAUAAGUGAGGGGAACAGUGGGAGGGGGCCAGGAGCUGGCCCCAGGGGGAGCUCAGGAGGUGACACUGACCACCAUGCAACCACCGGGUGCCCCAGCACUGCAGCAGGUUAAGGGGCUUCCAUGGACUCUGGCUGUGGUCCCAGCGCUGGGCAGGAAGCUCUGCAGGUGGAGCUGGCUCAGGCUCCACACGUGGGACUUCACCUGGGGCUGGAGCUGGUCCUGCAGUUCCAAGAGAAGAAAAAGUCACCAACUGUCCAUGUUCCCUCCCAGGGCAAAACCUCCCCACUGCCCAUCAGACAGCUCUGUGCACAAAGCCUCCCCAGGAAGUCCUCCCAGACCACGACGGCUGAGGUCUCAGUGAUCCCAGGUAACCCCAGCACCCACCUGGAAGCUGUCUCUGUGUCUAAAGGCCCAUCCCUCCCCUCAUGCCCACAGGCCCACACCCUGUCCUCCUCACCCGUGGGCUGUGCCUCAGUGGGCUCAGCUUGCUCCAGCUGGGCCAGGAGUUCACCUGGUGGAUUCUCCUGGGAGUGCAGCUCCACCAAGAAGUGGAGGACAAUGGUGGCCGGGCCUGACUGGACCUGUCCUGGACUCGGUGGCCCCGAGUGUCUGGUGUCCAGGUCCAGGGAGAUCUGCCCUGGGCUCCCGCUCAUCUCAGGUCCCCAGGUCUCUGGGUCUGGUGAGACCCGCCCUGUGCUGCCCCUGAAGGCCAGGUAGUUCCUGGUGAGUGGCCUGAAGCAUGGGGACUUAGCCAUCCAUCCUCUCAUUCGCACCCAAGUGCUUUCCCUGGGCGGGGUCCUACUGCUGUGGCCUCGAGGCCUGGAAAAGCAGCACAGCAUGAUCCCUGCUGACUCUCUCCAGCCAAGUGACUGUUAGGCAGCCGUCGCUGGACUGUGCUGCCCAGUGACUCCAGGGUUCCGAGUUCUGUUUGGACCUGUCGCCAAGGAAGUGAGGUCACAAUGCUAGGGUCAUAAGCCAAACCGCCCCCUCUGAUGAGAAGACCCCAUGGCCC